UGCAAGUGAUGUAAACGAGUAUUUGCUAUCUGAUCAGUUAUGCUGACCCUUCCACCAAGAUCACUGAUGCA